CUCGUAAGUGCGAUUGAUUUAGCGGCCGCCGUUCGAUCUUGUGCAGCAGCCGCGAUAAUUCCAGCUCCAAUAGCGUAUAUUAAAGUUGUUGCGGUUAAAAAGCUCGCAGUUGAACCUUGAACCUGGCUGGCCGGUCCGCCUCACCGCGUGCACUGGUCCGGCCGGGCCUUUCCCUCUGUGGAACCCCAUACCCUUCACUGGGCGUGGCGGGGAAACAGGACAUUUACUUUGAAAAAAUUAGAGUGCUCCAGGCAGGCCUAUGCUCGAAUACAUUAGCAUGGAAUAAUAAAAUAGGACGCGCGGUUCUAUUUUGUUGGUUUAUAGGACUGCCGUAAUGAUUAAUAGGGACAGCCCGCGCGCAUCAGUAUUCAACUGUCAGAGGAGAAAUACUUGGAUCAGUUGAAGACUAACUACUGCGAAAGCAUUUGCCAAGGAUGUUUUUCUUUAUUCAUGAAGGGAGAGUUAGGAGAACAAAAAACAAUCGGAGGGUGUGGGGAGAUAUAACCACAAAGCGAUGCGGAGAGGGGAGGGGGAUUUUUUCUCUCUCCCCCCCCCAAAAUAUAAAAAUGUUGCUCUGUCUCGAAAAAAAAAAAAAAGAAAGAAUGGAAGGGGGUGUCUCCGGCGGCGCGGCGCGCGCGCUCUCUUUAUUUGGUUUAUAUAACGCAACACCCCCACCCACCCAAAAAAAUAGAGAGAGAGGCGCGUGUCGUAUUCUUUGUUUGUAGAGAAGACAGACACACAGAACUAAUGGGUGUCUGUGUGAUUAUUAU
rnacentral:rRNA from 1 species